rnacentral:rRNA from 1 species
AAAGGCUAAUCAAGCACGGAGAUAGCUGGUUCUCCCCGAAAACUAUUUAGGUAUUGCCUCGUGUAUAAAUCAUUGGGGUAAAGCACUGUUUCGACAAUGGGGGUUUUACGACCUUACUGACUCGAUGCAAACUCAGAAUAAGAUGAAGUUCGAUCACGGGAGACACUCUGCGGGUGCUAAGGUCCGCAGUGGAAAGGGAAACAGCCCAGACCGCCAACUAAGGUCCCAAAGUCA